rnacentral:rRNA from 1 species
UUUAAAUGUAAAUUUUUGAACUAAAUUAGUAAUAGAUAUGAUCUUCAAAUUUAAAGAUUUUGGCGGUAUUUUAGUCUAUUCAGAGGAACCUGUUCUGUAAUUGAUAAUCCACGAUUAACUUUACUUAAUUUUAAAAAUUUGUAUAUCGUUGUUUAUAGAAAAUUUUAAAAGAAAAAUAAUUUUUAAUAAAUUUAAUUAAAUUUUAAAUCAAAUCAAGGUGCAGUUUAUAAUUAAGUUAGAAAUGGGUUACAAUAAAUUUAUUUAUUAAUGAAUAUAAAUUUUAAAAUUUUUAUUGAAGGUGGAUUUGAUAGUAAUAUUGUUAAAUUAAAUAAUAUGAUUUUAGCUCUAAAAUAUGU